AGAGUGAGCGUUGCCAUUGCUGCUGAUGUGUCCAAAAGUACAGAACUGCCAGGAACUAGAGCCUCUUGUGCUAUUGCUCUGGGGAGGAGCAGUGUCCCCCUGCCCUGGCAAAGAGUGCCCAUUGUUACACAGCACUGGCUCAGCCCUGUGUGGAAUGUCCCCAUUGUCUCCUGCUGAUGUCCUGGUUCCAGCAACCAACAGGACCUGCAGGGACCAUGUGCCACAACACCUCCAGCCACUAACACUUUCAGCCCUGAAAGGACUCCAAGGACAGCUCACAUUGGGCAGUGGUGCCCCAGGAGCCGCUGGCAGGGUGAGUUGAGCCUGCCCAGGAGAGCUGUGCCCUGUGGAGAGGUGAUCCAUGUUCUCACACAGCCUGCACGGGGGCACUACAGGGCCUGGCCUUGCCAACAACUUUGUGGAACUUUCACUUCUAUACUAAACCUGCUUUUGCUGAUACCUUUGCUGGUGAUUCUUUAAGCAACCAUAAAGCAUUCACUCAUGACAAUGAGGGCACACAGGCACAACCCUCUGCUCAGUGGUGCUGUGAUUCUAUGGUUCCUACCCAAAUACAGCCCAGCAAAGGCAAGCCUGAAUGGGGCAACAACCCUCAAUGAGCCCCAACCUUGCUCCUGGCAGGACUGACAAGCACUUUGGAGGGGAGAGAACAGCAAUACUGCUCACAUUUUAACACUGACUUCCAGGAUGAAGAACAUUGUGCAGCACUGGCUCAGAAGAAGGGGCACAGACAUCUGCAAGGACUCCACAGCUCCAGCUGAGCUGUUCAAUACUUGUAGUACAGCUUUAUGUUACCCCUCCAGGCCAAGGAGCCAGGCUGUGGUCACAGAGUACAGCUGAGAUUGGUUUGUGGUACUUGGAAAGUGCAGGAAAACCCAUCAAUAGCUUUGAUACCUCAUCCAGUUCUUCACAUCCCUCAUGGAAUUUGGCGUGGAGGUUUAAUCCAUGCUGGAUACUGAAGGUGGUCCAAGCACUCCAUGCUGAGGCCCAUUUGUUUCCCUGGUAUUCAAGGCUUGUCCUGCUCAGUCACUGUGCCCCUUGGCACGUUUUAUAUGUUGGAGUGGAAGAAGAAAAGUGUAGAGUAAGGAUAACCAAAACUAAACAACUAAACAUUUCCUGUGCUGUCGAAGCAACUGCUUCCAGCAGCUUUUAUUUGUUCUUCACAUCAGCAGACGAGUGGUGUAAGUUUUUUCUGAAGUGUGUUCCUCUCAUCAAGGGGAAAGAUCAGUUUGGGAGUUUAUCCUUGUAUCAUACUGGAAACAAAGCCCUCCACAUGCAUCUUGUGCUGCUUCCUCAAGUGUCCCCUCCACCCAAAAUUUAGUAUCACUCAAGAAAGGAGUGAUCAGCCAGUCCUACUUCCCCAUGGAAGAAGGCUACAAGCUGCCAAGUGAGCCUUGUUACAGCAACAGCCCCACUGAAUAGACACAGCAGCUCCUCAGAGGGCACAGGAUUCACAGGAAGCACCAAAGCUGAAAAAUUUUAUACUUUUUAUUGCAGGUUCAGUGUUAGUGUUUUGGAGAGCACAGCUGCAUUAGAAGCAGAUAUUGUUCCACCUUCCCUUCCCCACAAGACUCUGCCACAAACUCAGCCCCACGCAACUCCAAAAAUCACGCCUGGUUUUGCAGUGCAGACAAGUGUUCCAGAGAGGACCAAGACCCUCAUGUGAUUCAUCACUGAAGAGCAAUAAUGAUCCAAAGCUCACAAAAUGAAAAGGCCAACACAUUAACAGGCAUUCCCUGCUCUGCUGGGACACACACAUGAGCCUGUUCCCAGCUCCCUGACCCAGGGAUGGGAGCAGCCCAGGCAAUGGGCUGCCCUAAGCUGUCCUUUCGGGAUGUUCUGCUAAUUUAGUUUGGAUGAAAGUCCCUGCUCUGCUGUGCAGGAGAGGAGAGGCCACUGAGCUGGCACGGAGCUGCUGUUGGCUCAGCUCUGCCAGCAGCACAGCCUGAACAUUCCCUUCCAUGCUCUGGGGUGAGACACAGCCAGAAACAACCCCAAAGGCUGCUCUCGCUGCCCACACAGCAAUGAGCAGUCCCUGUUCCCUUCUCACAAGCUGACAGCUACUUCUGUUUAGCUUUUCUUUCUGCCCCUACAGGGCAAGAGAAAACACACUAAAAAAAAAAAAAAAUCAUUAAAGGAACUUAAAAAUUCAACACCACCUCAUUUUUCCAUCUCUCUCAAUCGAGGUGUAAUUCCCCUCACUGCCAGUGGCCCCUUCUAUUGUAAAGUGCUGGUCAGGUUGAUUUUUUUCUAUUAGAUCUCAUGGCUCAAGACCCUGAAAACGUCAACACUCCUACAAAAAUAAACAGCUGUGUUAUGCC